CCUACGGGAGGCAGCAGUGAGGAAUAUUGGUCAAUGGACGCAAGUCUGAACCAGCCAUGCCGCGUGCAGGAAGACGGCUCUAUGAGUUGUAAACUGCUUUUGUACGAGGGUAAACGCAGAUACGCGUAUCUGUCUGAAAGUAUCGUACGAAUAAGGAUUGGCUAACUCCGUGCCAGCAGCCGCGGUAAUACGGAGGAUUCAAGCGUUAUCCGGAUUUAGUGGGUUUAAAGGGUGCGUAGGCGGUCGGAUAAGUUAGAGGUGAAAUCCCGAGGCUCAACUUCGGAAUUGCCUCUGAUACUGUUCGGCUAGAGAGUAGUUGCGGUAGGCGGAAUGUAUGGUGUAGCGGUGAAAUGCUUAGAGAUCAUACAGAACACCGAUUGCGAAGGCAGCUUACCAAGCUACUUCUGACGUUGAGGCACGAAAGCGUGGGGAGCAAACAGGAUUAGAUCCCCAGUAGUC
rnacentral:rRNA from 1 species